rnacentral:lncRNA from 1 species
UCUCUUGUACUUAAGAACUAUUUAAUCAAUGAAAUUGGAUUCUUCUUUACAGAGAGCUCCUUUUUCUUACUCUGCAUUCUUUUUCUUCUCUUUUAUAUUCUUGCACUGAUUUGUGUUGUGACGUUCUUGUCUCCCAACAACAGUGCCUUGCCGAAGCUCUUCCCCUACAAUAGGAGAUUCCUCUGAAGUCGAUGAUCCGGAACCUCAGAAGAAAAGUUCGUCACCUAACGAAGAAAUCAAAGAAGCUGGAUGAUGAACUUCACC